rnacentral:rRNA from 1 species
GACGAGCCACACAAACGUUAUUCGGAAUUACUGGGCUUAAAGGGUGCGUAGGCGGCGCGGCAAGUUGGGUGUGAAAUCCCUCGGCUCAACCGAGGAACUGCGCCCAAAACUGCCGUGCUCGAGGAAGAUAGAGGUAAGCGGAACUUACGGUGGAGCGGUGAAAUGCGUUGAUAUCGUAAGGAACACCUGUGGCGAAAGCGGCUUACUGGGUCUUUUCUGACGCUGAUGCACGAAAGCUAGGGGAGCAAACGGG